AUAAGUUGCUAGAUUAUGACUUGU
rnacentral:siRNA from 1 species